UACAGAGGGGGGCAAGCGUUUGUUCGGAAUUACUGGGCGUAAAGGGCGCGUAGGCGGCCUUCUAAGUCGAACGUGAAAUCCCUGGGCUCAACCCAGGAACUGCGUCCGAUACUGGUUGGCUUGAAUCCGGGAGAGGGACGUGGAAUUCCAGGUGUAGUGGUGAAAUGCGUAGAUAUCUGGAGGAACACCGGUGGCGAAGGCGGCAUCCUGGACCGAGAUUGACGCAUGAGGGCGCGAAAGCCA
rnacentral:rRNA from 1 species